GUCCGACUUCGGCUCAGGUCAUGAUCUCGCAGUUCAUGAGAUCGCUGGUGCUCAGAGAUGUCAAACAAGUCGCCUGAAGUCACACAGCUGGUAAGCAGCAGAGUCUGAAUGCAAACCCAGACCCCCGGCUCCAAGGUGCACGCUUCCCGCCCUCUGCUGUGCUGUCCUAUCCCUUCGUACCGCCACCACAUGUCACCCGACCGCCUCCCCCACUCGACCACGUCCCCCCCGAGGGUGGGAGCCGCUGUCUCCGUGUUGAACCCACAGGACCGCACACAGUGCCUGACCCAGCAGAGCAGUUUCUACUAAAUGUUUACUGAACGAGUAAAUGACCGCACGAAUGCCUAAUUAUGUCUUAUAAACGCUUGGUUGUUGAUGGUUGAGAACACAACGCUCAGUUUCGAGCCCUUGGGAGUCUCAAAGCGGGGGCUGUCCUCUUUGGUGGGCCAAAGCGUGUCACCAUCCCCCUGUGCGUUUUUUGCGGCGCCCUCCGCCUCUUGGCUCACAGACCAGGGGCCGUGAGCGAGGGCGGGGAGCUCAUCUGCCCACCUCCCAACCUUGGCACACGUGCGUGCCGGCCCGCCCGAGUCUGGGGGCCGCCCGUCCCCUCCCGGCCUCCCCGCCCCGGGCACUUACGCGGGGCUUCUCGGCCAGCCUGGCGUGCAGCGCCCGUCUCCAGAUAUUCUUGGCAGAACUGGCUUCGCGGACAAGCAGCAGGAAGGACAGAGCCCAGAUGACCUUCCUCCCGCCGCUGCCCAUCCCGCGGCCGGGAGAAGGCAUUUCCUCCCACACGGGGCAGAGAAGAGGGGCCCCUCUUGCCGGGAGGGGGGGGCCUGCAAGUGGGGGACAGAAGCGUGCACGGUCCGCCGGGCUCUCAGCUCCACUCGGCCGGGCCCCUCGGAUCAUGUGUCGGCGCCCAGCACAUGCCCCCACCCCUACCCCCACCCCUGCCGGUGGCCGGCCCGCCCUAUUUUUAGCUUUGCCCUAUAACAUCUGGCCGCAGAGUCACCACAUAGAUGUCUGCAGCCCGGGCAGCUGAGACGGUGGAGGCAGGAGGAGGGGGGCACGGGCUCGCCAGAGACGUGGCCGGGACACAUUGGGAUAAUGAGCAUUUGCGUGCAGGCUCGGUCCCCUCCCGGAGGAGGGCCUGGCCUGCGUCGGUUCACGGAACAAAUAUAGCCGUCACGAUGACCCUGCGAGGAAGGGGGCCUCGUCUACAGA